rnacentral:rRNA from 1 species
AUUGAACGCUGGCGGCAGGCCUAACACAUGCUAGUCGAACGGUAACAGGGAUCAGCUUGCUGAUUCGCUGACGAGUGGCGGACGGGUGAGUAAUGUCUGGGAAACUGCCUGAUGGAGGGGGAUAACUACUGGAAACGGUAGCUAAUACCGCAUAACGUCGCAAGACCAAAGAGGGGGACCUUCGGGCCUCUUGCCAUCGGAUGUGCCCAGAUGGGAUUAGCUAGUAGGUGGGGUAACGGCUCACCUAGGCGACGAUCCCUAGCUGGUCUGAGAGGAUGACCAGCCACACUGGAACUGAGACACGGUCCAGACUCCUACGGGAGGCAGCAGUGGGGAAUAUUGCACAAUGGGCGCAAGCCUGAUGCAGCCAUGCCGCGUGUAUGAAGAAGGCCUUCGGGUUGUAAAGUACUUUCAGCGGGGAGGAAGGGAGUAAAGUUAAUACCUUUGCUCAUUGACGUUACCCGCAGAAGAAGCACCGGCUAACUCCGUG